rnacentral:rRNA from 1 species
GCGAGGCCGAAAGGCGUAGUCGAUGGGAAACAGGUUAAUAUUCCUGUACUUGGUGUUACUGCGAAGGGGGGACGGAGAAGGCUAUGUUGGCCGGGCGACGGUUGUCCCGGUUUAAGCGUGUAGGCUGGUUUUCCAGGCAAAUCCGGAAAAUCAAGGCUGAGGCGUGAUGACGAGGCACUACGGUGCUGAAGCAACAAAUGCCCUGCUUCCAGGAAAAGCCUCUAAGCAUCAGGUAACAUCAAAUCGUACCCCAAA